AGACGUUCCCUUCGGGGACAUGGAUACAGGUGGUGCAUGGUUGUCGUCAGCUCGUGUCGUGAGAUGUUGGGUUAAGUCCCGCAACGAGCGCAACCCUUAUUAUCAGUUGCCAGCAUUAAGUUGGGCACUCUGGUGAGACUGCCGGUGACAAACCGGAGGAAGGUGGGGAUGACGUCAAAUCAUCAUGCCCCUUAUGACCUGGGCUACACACGUGCUACAAUGGAUGGUACAACGAGUUGCGAACUCGCGAGAGUAAGCUAAUCUCUUAAAGCCAUUCUCAGUUCGGAUUGUAGGCUGCAACUCGCCUACAUGAAGUCGGAAUCGCUAGUAAUCGCGGAUCAGCAUGCCGCGGUGAAUACGUUCCCGGGCCUUGUACACACCGCCCGUCACACCAUGAGAGUUUGUAACACCCAAAGUCGGUGGGGUAACCUUUUAGGAA
rnacentral:rRNA from 2 species